GCAACACUCGACUCUGAAAUUUGGGGAACCCAGGUUAGGGCAAAAGGAGAGAAAGUCACAGAGAGUCCUUAGCUUCGCUCUCUUCUCUCUCUUUUCUCUCUGUUGUGUGAAUUUCUCAAUGAAAAAUCGAAAGCUUGUAAGCUGUAGUCGAUUCACGCGUGUCGCCGUACUACUGAUCCGCAAAUUUCUUCAGAUAAAGCGAUUUCAUCUCCAGGUGUGGCAAUAUGAGCUCUUGGGAAUUAGGACAUGUUUGGGAGACAAAGUUGGAGAAUUCAAGAACAGAUGCCAGAGGCAGUAUAAGCUAUUUGAACCAAAACCCACCUCUCCUGCCACCUAGAGAGCUGUUUUUUAUUUUUUAUU